AGCCCCGUGGUGUAGUGGUCAAUCAUUUCGGCCUUUGGAGCCGAAGACGGCGGUUCGAAUCCGCCCGGGGCUA
rnacentral:tRNA from 1 species